CAGAAAAUAGUUUAGUUUAGAACUCUGGCCUUGGGAGUCAGUCGUGAGAGUUAGAAUCUCUUUUUUCUGG
rnacentral:tRNA from 2 species